UGUAUGGCCAAUUCACGGAGGUUUAAAAUGGAUCCCGGCAGAUUCAGAGGUGUUGCAGUACGCCAUUCUUCCUGAGGCCUCUUCGGGAGCGGAUAAAUAUCUCUCGUUUCUCACCUCGAUCACCGAUGUCGAAAUCUCCGGCGACUUGCAGGUAAUUUCUAUAUCAGAUCGGAUUGGAUGAAGGACAAAAAGAAGGAUACUAACGAUGAAGACUUCGAGCAAUCGGAACUGUCCGAUGCUCCUGAAGAUGACAGGGACUGCAAAGGUGAUGAUGCUGAUGAAGACAUUACAUAUCCUCAUCUGUGCUGAGGCAUCGGUUCACUUUCGCAAGAGCAAGAAGGCACUAAAAUAUCAUAAUGAUGCUGCUCAACAUUCUCCACUAUACCAUCCAGAAUCUAUGAUCAUCAUCAAAGGUAAUAGACAGAAAUUGCCUAUUCUACCCGAAAUUAAAAUAUCGAUAUCAACAAAAAUGUCCCGACAGAUACUCGUAUUAGUAUUUUUCAUGAUUUAGAUGUCUUAUCUCCUCGAUCUCGGUAUUGAAUCGUGUUCGAUUCACAAAAGGGUGUUUGUUGAGAUGAAAUAUUGUUCCCAUCA